rnacentral:siRNA from 1 species
UGGCGUAAGGUACUCUUGCAUC